AAUUAUACGACAAACCUUGUUCAGCAUGAUGUUCAUUUUUUAGUUUUGACAGUCAAAGCAUCACUGGGUGAAGUUUGUCUUAUAAU
rnacentral:pre_miRNA from 1 species